AUUGAACGCUGGCGGCAGGCUUAACACAUGCAAGUCGAGCGGAGACUUCGGUCUUAGCGGCGAACGGGUGAGUAAUACCUAGGAAUCUGCCUAUUAGUGGGGGAUAACGAAUCGAAAGGUUCGCUAAUACCGCAUACCGUCCUACGGGGAGAAAAGGGGGGACUCUUCGGACCUCUCGCUAAUAGAUGAGCCUAGGCCGGAUUAGCUAGUUGGUAGGGUAAAGGCCUACCAAGGCGACGAUCUGUAGCUGGUCUGAGAGGAUGGCCAGCCACACUGGGACUGAGACACGGCCCAGACUCCUACGGGAGGCAGCAGUGGGGAAUAUUGGACAAUGGGCGCAAGCCUGAUCCCAGCCAAUGG
rnacentral:rRNA from 1 species